GUUAGAAGAAUGAAACAGCCUACCUUACAAUAAAAGAUUAGUUGGUCACUGUUGCAUCAGACUCCCCCAAAACUCUCUAUGACUAUUAGUGCUAAUCUCUAACAUUAAUAAUCUCUAACUCUAAUAACAUUCCUCAGGUAUGUCUUAAAACGUCUCAAGCAACUGAUUGGCCUUUCCGCCAAAGCAGUCGAGACAGACAUUGUCAGUAGAACUUAAAUUAUCUUGUGAAUAUUUGGGUACAUGUCCACUGUCUCUCUUAGGAUGGUGCACAGAUUAGAAUCAGUUCCCUGCAGCAUCGUGUUGCACCAGCUCCACAUAUGCCAAGUCCAGACUGGGCAUCACUAUGGUAACUCUGUGAUGGCUAGGUUUGUCAAACAGCAUGUUUUCUUUUUUUGUUAAAAAGUUCAAUUAAACUACAUUGAUUAUUUAUUUGUAUUUUAAAAAUGUCUACAUUAUUAGAAUAUACUUUUAUGUUAUUGGAUUGCAUUUAGAUUCUGCCAAUUCCACUUGGUGUUCUGCUUUCAAUAUGCUACUAAUCAAAACAAAACUUCCAGACACUUACAGCCCUGUGCCACUGCUAGGGCACGCAGUACGCAUAUUGUGCAUACAGCUGGAGGCAUCACUGAUGGUAGACAUCAGAGCUGUGGGUAAGAGUUUUCAAUUUUAACAUCACCCACCAAAUCAUCUUUGUUCUGACCUCAUCUCAUAAAUGGUGAAACGGAUUAAAAUACUUAAUACUUAAAAGUGCUUCAGCAUUAAUGACACCACUGAAACGAGAAGGGAGAGGUGACUCUUUAGGUGGCCUCAGGCUGUAGAGAGACAGGAAAUGACAAUAAUGCAGAACAGAGACAUUUGAUAUUGAAUAAUAAACAAAACCAUUCACGUUCAGCACAUUUUUUAACAGCCAUCUUUCCACAUCUUCUGGCUAUUUGAGUAAGAUUCAAAUAUAUAUAUAUAUAUAUAAUUUACUCUCACUGAGUGAUUCUCUGUCCAAAUGAGGCGUGACAGAACAACUUAAACAUUACACAGGACCAAAGCACAGACUUCCAGCCGUCUUGACAUGUUCUCUAUGUGCAUGGGAAAGAUUGUGCUCUUUAUUUUGUUAGCGUAUGUGCAGAUCUCCACAGCAAUGGUAACCGUAGGAGCAGAACCAACCUCAAGGAAAUUGGAGUGGCUAAGAAGAUCGGUGACAACCAAAGGCCUCCUAAUUAAAGCUGCUCCACAUCUGGCUCAUUGAAACAGUUAACGGUGUUGGCAUGUCUAUGUUGUAAAAUGUCUUGGGUCAGGAUGAAGAUCAGAUGGUUCCUUUAUUGUCAAUAAUGAUCACGAAAUACAUUCCAAGUCGAGGCUAUUAAGAUAACAAAAUGGUACUGGCUUGAGUCCAGUUGGAAAGGUCCUUUGAGCUGGCGUUGGAGUUAUUUUCUGGUGUUGUGUUUUAUAUGUUAUUAGUCAAUGAGGCAGUUUGUCGAAACCUGAUAUAACUUUGCACAGCUGGUCCACCAUGGGUUUAGACUAGCACCACUGUCCCACUGAGCUCUAACCAAUAAUGAAGCGUUUAUUAUUAUUAUUAUUAUUAUUAUUGUUGUUGUUGUUAGUGGCUUCAACUAAGUGGAUUUUCUCUGCCAUGAAGAAGUGCAUACACACCAUCAUAACGUGCCCAAGAUUGCUUUAAAUAAAUGUAAAUGUAAAUGAUCAUUCUGACCUCUUUCUAGUCCUUUAACAUUUACCCCCCAAAAUGCCAUGUAACUAAUAGCCUAGCACGGUAUGGGAAUUCAUGCUCUGCAUUAGGCCAAUGUCAUAUUUUGUCUCCUCCCACCCCGCUCAUGAUUGACAGACCACCCCAGAGCUGGAGGAACAGAGUGGGAGAUUAAUUUUCAGGAAACGCAUCACGCAGUGAUGUUGACAAUAUCACUCAACCGGUUGGAUAUUGCACUGUCGUUACUCUGAAAUCCAGUCAUGGAUCGUGGAUGUGGUUGCAGCGUUCAGCCUGAUCUGCUCCCAUUUAGCACACUGAGGGAAUGCUAACUGUGCGAUUCCAGACACUAAUGAAGAGAGAAGGAUGGACUGACCACUAUUAAAUACACGGGAUUAAAGGUCAAGUUCUCGCUGGAGAAAUCUGACAUGUUGAUGGUUGACGCUUGACGGCUUAUAGGGGCUUUGCACAACCCUGUCCACUGCAUCCAUGUGGAUCUCAUCAGCGAUCCCGGGCUGGGAGUGAAAAUGGCUUGAAGACGGACGAUUGUGUGGAGUGGCCCUAAAGAAUGUACCUCGGUACGGGGCGU